GACGAACGCUGGCGGCGUGCCUAAUACAUGCAAGUCGAGCGAAUCAGCAGGAGCUUGCUCCUGUUGGUUAGCGGCGGACGGGUGAGUAACACGUGGGCAACCUGCCUGUAAGACUGGGAUAACACCGGGAAACCGGUGCUAAUACCGGAUAAUCCUUUUCCUCUCAUGAGGAAAAGCUGAAAGUCGGUUUCGGCUGACACUUACAGAUGGGCCCGCGGCGCAUUAGCUAGUUGGUGAGGUAACGGCUCACCAAGGCGACGAUGCGUAGCCGACCUGGGAGGGUGAUCGGCCACACUGGGACUGAGACACGGCCCAGACUCCUACGGGAGGCAGCAGUAGGGAAUCUUCCACAAUGGACGAAAGUCUGAUGGAGCAACGCCGCGUGAGCGAUGAAGGCCUUCGGGUCGUAAAGCUCUGUUGUUAGGGAAGAACAAGUACCGGAGUAACUGCCGGUACCUUGACGGUACCUAACCAGAAAGCCACGGCUAACUACGUGCCAGCCGCCGCGGUAA
rnacentral:rRNA from 1 species